AUGACUGUGGGAGACAAGAAAGUCUUCGGUCCGGGUACUCGACUUUAUGUUACAGGAAAUACUGAGUCGCCAAAAGUGUCUGGAUACCUACCGUCAAAGAAAUCCAGUGACAAAGAUGACAUUCACACAAUGUUAUGCCACGCAAGAGACAUGAUUCCUGACUUGGUGAAAUUCACAUGGCAAAAAAAGAGCGGAACAAAAGAUUGGGAGGAUGUGAAUGAAAAUGUUGUUGAACAGAGUUACAAAGUUAAAGUAAAUAAUAAAGAUCAAGUUAAAGCAGUGUCAAGUAUGAUGAUUAUAGAUAAAAACACGGCCGAAAACAACGACUACCAAUGCAUUGUUACCCAUGAGGGAGUCAAUGAGAAACCCCAAACUCUUUUAAUGAAGAAAGAUGAAAUUAAGCCGCCAAUGGUUCCUACGAAGAAAAAUUGUCCAGCCACUGAUGAGACCAUAAAAAAUCAAAUAUCAGGUGAAUAAAUAAAAUAAAUAUAUAUAAAUAUCUAUAUGAAUUUGGAUAAAUAUAGAUACAUUUGGAUGGAUCUUUUAAAACUAUUUUUGUAUUUCAAAAUCUUGUUUUCAAGCCAAAUUUUUUACAUAAAAAAAAAAAAAAUAUAUAUAUAUAUAUACACAUAUAUAUAUAUAUAUAUAUAUAUAUAUAUAUAUAUAUAUAUACAUACAUAUACAUAUAUAUAUAUAUAUAUAUAUACAUAUAUAUAUAUAUACAUAUACAUAUACAUAUAUAUAUAUACAUAUAUAUAUAUAUAUAUAUAUAUAUAUAUAUAUAUAUAUAUAUAUAUAUAUAUACAUAUAUAUAUAUAUUUGUCUGUAUCAGUUAAAAUCAGAGUGUGUACAUUUUUCUUUUUAUGCUUCGUAAAUUAAUUUAACUUAAUGUUAUGAUUAUUAUGGAGUCACCGAACUAUUUUGACCGAACUGAUCCUAAUUUGUCUUAAUACUUUUAUUCACUCUGUACUUUAGUGGACCAAAAACAAAAGAAAAAAAAUUUACAUUGUCAAAAAAUUCCUGCUGAAACAUUUAAUACACAUAUAUUAUUAAAACAUGAUUUAAGCAGAAAUGUUAUGCAUGGUAUUUAUAUAUAGUAAGAAUAAAGUUAUUAACAUAUAAAUGUUUUUCAUUAAAAGCAUUUAACAUUUUUUUUUUUUUUUUUGCUUUAUUACAGGAGAUUCGGAGCAAAUACGCAGUCUGUACGUGUUUGUCUAUGCAUAUGGUGUCAUGAUCAUGAAGAACGUACUGUAUUUUUUUGUUGUGACUAUCUUUCUAUUAAAGAGAAAAGCUGCAAGAAAGAAAGAUGAAACCUCUUAGAGAUUUAAUGCUAAUAUAAGAUAAAUAUCAAUUAAGCAAAGGUUAUUAGCAAGUUUCGCUGACUAAAGAAUAGAUACAUAUCUGCAGCUAUAUUAUCUCUGCUUAACUGUAUUGCUUUUACAUUUGUAGUAGGUUUUCUUUGCAUAGUUUAGUUUUGCAUAUUUGAAAUGUAUCAUUUAGAUUAUUAAAAAUGUGUAAUGUACCCAAAUUUUUAAAAUGUGUUUUGCAUUCCCUUUGUUUUUUUUGUUUGUUUUUUGUUUGUUUUUUUUGCAUUCUCAGAAUAAAAUCUGCUCCUAAAAUAAAUUAAAUGUUAUUCUUAGAUGUGUAGUAAAAGGAAUUCU
ensembl:lncRNA